rnacentral:lncRNA from 13 species
GGUUGAGUCGAAGUUUGCUAAAACUUUUACAUUUUUUAAAGCAAUAACCCUUUAUCAUGAUUUCAUUUUAUGUUAAGAAGCUGGUCUAUUUCUUGAUGUAUUUCAGAUGGCGUUAGCAGAUAUUCUGUUCUUCCCUCAUAACCACGGAGUUUAGUCAUAAAACAACUGCAUUUGGAAAAACAAGUGAUAAACAGGUAUGCACAAAGUGGCAACAUUUUGAAUCACCUGACGUGAGUGUUGCAGGCUAAUUUCAUACAAGGCAGUUCUCUGUCUUCUU